GAUGAACGCUAGCUACAGGCUUAACACAUGCAAGUCGAGGGGAAACGAUGAGAGAGCUUGCUCUCUUAGUCGUCGACCGGCGCACGGGUGAGUAACGCGUAUCCAACCUGCCUCUGACCAAGGGAUAACCCGUCGAAAGUCGGACUAAUACCUUAUGCAGUCGUCGGAAGUCAUCUGAUGACGACGAAAGAUUUCAUCGGUGAGAGAUGGGGAUGCGUCUGAUUAGCUUGUUGGCGGGGUAACGGCCCACCAAGGCGACGAUCAGUAGGGGUUCUGAGAGGAAGGUCCCCCACAGUGGAACUGAGACACGGUCCAAACUCCUACGGGAGGCAGCAGUGAGGAAUAUUGGUCAAUGGGCGUAAGCCUGAACCAGCCAAGUAGCGUGCAGGAUGACGGCCCUAUGGGUUGUAAACUGCUUUUAUGCGGGGAUAAAGUGAGGGACGUGUCCUUCAUUGCAGGUACCGCAUGAAUAAGGACCGGCUAAUUCCGUG
rnacentral:rRNA from 1 species